AUCUUACGUAGCUCAGAGGUAGAGAAUCUGCCUUGCAUGCAGAACAACCCAGGUUCAAUCUCCAGGUAAGGCUAGGAUA